rnacentral:rRNA from 1 species
UUAAGCGACUAAGCGUACACGGUGGAUGCCCUGGCAGUCAGAGGCGAUGAAGGACGUGCUAAUCUGCGAUAAGCGUCGGUAAGGUGAUAUGAACCGUUAUAACCGGCGAUUUCCGAAUGGGGAAACCCAGUGUGAUUCGUCACACUAUCAUUAACUGAAUCCAUAGGUUAAUGAGGCGAACCGGGGGAACUGAAACAUCUAAGUACCCCGAGGAAAAGAAAUCAACCGAGAUUCCCCCAGUAGCGGCGAGCGAACGGGGAGCAGCCCAGAGCCUGAAUCAGUGUGUGUGUUAGUGGAAGCGUCUGGAAAGGCGCGCGAUACAGGGUGACAGCCCCGUACACAAAAAUGCACAUGCUGUGAGCUCGAUGAGUAGGGCGGGACACGUGGUAUCCUGUCUGAAUAUGGGGGGACCAUCCUCCAAGGCUAAAUACUCCUGACUGACCGAUAGUGAACCAGUACCGUGAGGGAAAGGCGAAAAGAACCCCGGCGAGGGGAGUGAAAAAGAACCUGAAACCGUGUACGUACAAGCAGUGGGAGCACGCUUAGGCGUGUGACUGCGUACCUUUUGUAUAAUGGGUCAGCGACUUAUAUUCUGUAGCAAGGUUAACCGAAUAGGGGAGCCGAAGGGAAACCGAGUCUUAACUGGGCGUUAAGUUGCAGGGUAUAGACCCGAAACCCGGUGAUCUAGCCAUGGGCAGGUUGAAGGUUGGGUAACACUAACUGGAGGACCGAACCGACUAAUGUUGAAAAAUUAGCGGAUGACUUGUGGCUGGGGGUGAAAGGCCAAUCAAACCGGGAGAUAGCUGGUUCUCCCCGAAAGCUAUUUAGGUAGCGCCUCGUGAAUUCAUCUCCGGGGGUAGAGCACUGUUUCGGCAAGGGGGUCAUCCCGACUUACCAACCCGAUGCAAACUGCGAAUACCGGAGAAUGUUAUCACGGGAGACACACGGCGGGUGCUAACGUCCGUCGUGAAGAGGGAAACAACCCAGACCGCCAGCUAAGGUCCCAAAGUCAUGGUUAAGUGGGAAACGAUGUGGGAAGGCCCAGACAGCCAGGAUGUUGGCUUAGAAGCAGCCAUCAUUUAAAGAAAGCGUAAUAGCUCACUGGUCGAGUCGGCCUGCGCGGAAGAUGUAACGGGGCUAAACCAUGCACCGAAGCUGCGGCAGCGACGCUUAUGCGUUGUUGGGUAGGGGAGCGUUCUGUAAGCCUGUGAAGGUGUGCUGUGAGGCAUGCUGGAGGUAUCAGAAGUGCGAAUGCUGACAUAAGUAACGAUAAAGCGGGUGAAAAGCCCGCUCGCCGGAAGACCAAGGGUUCCUGUCCAACGUUAAUCGGGGCAGGGUGAGUCGACCCCUAAGGCGAGGCCGAAAGGCGUAGUCGAUGGGAAACAGGUUAAUAUUCCUGUACUUGGUGUUACUGCGAAGGGGGGACGGAGAAGGCUAUGUUGGCCGGGCGACGGUUGUCCCGGUUUAAGCGUGUAGGCUGGUUUUCCAGGCAAAUCCGGAAAAUCAAGGCUGAGGCGUGAUGACGAGGCACUACGGUGCUGAAGCAACAAAUGCCCUGCUUCCAGGAAAAGCCUCUAAGCAUCAGGUAACAUCAAAUCGUACCCCAAACCGACACAGGUGGUCAGGUAGAGAAUACCAAGGCGCUUGAGAGAACUCGGGUGAAGGAACUAGGCAAAAUGGUGCCGUAACUUCGGGAGAAGGCACGCUGAUAUGUAGGUGAAGUCCCUCGCGGAUGGAGCUGAAAUCAGUCGAAGAUACCAGCUGGCUGCAACUGUUUAUUAAAAACACAGCACUGUGCAAACACGAAAGUGGACGUAUACGGUGUGACGCCUGCCCGGUGCCGGAAGGUUAAUUGAUGGGGUCAGCGCAAGCGAAGCUCUUGAUCGAAGCCCCGGUAAACGGCGGCCGUAACUAUAACGGUCCUAAGGUAGCGAAAUUCCUUGUCGGGUAAGUUCCGACCUGCACGAAUGGCGUAAUGAUGGCCAGGCUGUCUCCACCCGAGACUCAGUGAAAUUGAACUCGCUGUGAAGAUGCAGUGUACCCGCGGCAAGACGGAAAGACCCCGUGAACCUUUACUAUAGCUUGACACUGAACAUUGAGCCUUGAUGUGUAGGAUAGGUGGGAGGCUUAGAAGUGUGGACGCCAGUCUGCAUGGAGCCGACCUUGAAAUACCACCCUUUAAUGUUUGAUGUUCUAACGUUGACCCGUAAUCCGGGUUGCGGACAGUGUCUGGUGGGUAGUUUGACUGGGGCGGUCUCCUCCUAAAGAGUAACGGAGGAGCACGAAGGUUGGCUAAUCCUGGUCGGACAUCAGGAGGUUAGUGCAAUGGCAUAAGCCAGCUUGACUGCGAGCGUGACGGCGCGAGCAGGUGCGAAAGCAGGUCAUAGUGAUCCGGUGGUUCUGAAUGGAAGGGCCAUCGCUCAACGGAUAAAAGGUACUCCGGGGAUAACAGGCUGAUACCGCCCAAGAGUUCAUAUCGACGGCGGUGUUUGGCACCUCGAUGUCGGCUCAUCACAUCCUGGGGCUGAAGUAGGUCCCAAGGGUAUGGCUGUUCGCCAUUUAAAGUGGUACGCGAGCUGGGUUUAGAACGUCGUGAGACAGUUCGGUCCCUAUCUGCCGUGGGCGCUGGAGAACUGAGGGGGGCUGCUCCUAGUACGAGAGGACCGGAGUGGACGCAUCACUGGUGUUCGGGUUGUCAUGCCAAUGGCACUGCCCGGUAGCUAAAUGCGGAAGAGAUAAGUGCUGAAAGCAUCUAAGCACGAAACUUGCCCCGAGAUGAGUUCUCCCUGACUCCUUGAGAGUCCUGAAGGAACGUUGAAGACGACGACGUUGAUAGGCCGGGUGUGUAAGCGCAGCGAUGCGUUGAGCUAACCGGUACUAAUGAACCGUGAGGCUUAACCU